AUUGAACGCUGGCGGCAGGCCUAACACAUGCAAGUCGAGCGGAUGAAGGGAGCUUGCUCCUGGAUUCAGCGGCGGACGGGUGAGUAAUGCCUAGGAAUCUGCCUGGUAGUGGGGGAUAACGUCCGGAAACGGGCGCUAAUACCGCAUACGUCCUGAGGGAGGAAGUGGGGGAUCUUCGGACCUCACGCUAUCAGAUGAGCCUAGGUCGGAUUAGCUAGUUGGUAGGGUAAAGGCCUACCAAGGCGACGAUCCGUAACUGGUCUGAGAGGAUGAUCAGUCACACUGGAACUGAGACACGGUCCAGACUCCUACGGGAGGCAGCAGUGGGGAAUAUUGGACAAUGGGCGAAAGCCUGAUCCAGCCAUGCCGCGUGUGUGAAGAAGGUCUUCGGAUUGUAAAGCACUUUAAGUUGGGAGGAAGGGCAGUAAGUUAAUACCUUGCUGUUUUGACGUUACCAACAGAAUAAGCACCGGCUAACUUCGUG
rnacentral:rRNA from 1 species